rnacentral:rRNA from 1 species
UGAUGUGGUUUAAUUCGAUGCAACGCGAAAACCUUACCUACCCUUGACAUGUCAAGAAUUUUGUCAGAGAUGUGAAAGUGCUCGAAAGAGAACUUGAACACAGGUGCUGCAUGGCCGUCGUCAGCUCGUGUCGUGAGAUGUUGGGUUAAGUCCCGCAACGAGCGCAACCCUUGUCAUUAGUUGCUACCGCAAGGAGCACUCUAAUGAGACUGCCGGUGACAAACCGGAGGAAGGUGGGGAUGACGUCAGGUCCUCAUGGCCCUUAUGGGUAGGGCUACACACGUCAUACAAUGGCCGGUACAGAGGGCUGCCAACCCGCGAGGGGGAGCCAAUCCCAGAAAACCGGUCGUAGUCCGGAUCGUAGUCUGCAACUCGACUGCGUGAAGUCGGAAUCGCUAGUAAUCGCGGAUCAGCUUGCCGCGGUGAAUACGUUCCCGGGUCUU